AGUGAACGCUGGCGGUAGGCCUAACACAUGCAAGUCGAACGGCAGCACAGUAAGAGCUUGCUCUUACGGGUGGCGAGUGGCGGACGGGUGGGGAAUACAUCGGAAUCUACUUUUUCGUGGGGGAUAACGUAGGGAAGCUUACGCUAAUACCGCAUACGACCUACGGGUGAAAGCAGGGGAUCUUCGGACCUUGCGCGAUUGAAUGAGCCGAUGUCGGAUUAGCUAGUUGGCGGAGUAAAGGCCCACCAAGGCGACGAUCCGUAGCUGGUCUGAGAGGAUGAUCAGCCACACUGGAACUGAGACACGGUCCAGACUCCUACGGGAGGCAGCAGUGGGGAAUAUUGGACAAUGGGCGCAAGCCUGAUCCAGCCAUACCGCGUGGGUGAAGAAGGCCUUCGGGUUGUAAAGCCCUUUUGUUGGGAAAGAAAAGCAGCAGGUUAAUACCCCGCUGUUCUGACGGUACCCAAAGAAUAAGCACCGGCUAACUUCGUG
rnacentral:rRNA from 1 species